rnacentral:rRNA from 1 species
UACAGGAGGGGCAAGCGUUAUUCGGAAUUAUUGGGCGUAAAGGGCGCGUAGGCGGCUUGGCAAGUGGAUGGUGAAAUCCCUCGGCUUAACCGAGGAACUGCCGUCCAAACUGCUUCGCUUGAGACCGGGAGAGGUGAGUGGAAUUCCCAGUGUAGCGGUGAAAUGCGUAGAUAUUGGGAGGAACACCAGUGGCGGAAGGCGGCUCACUGGACCGGUAUUGACGCUGAUGCGCGAAAGCGUGGGGAGCAAACGGG